UAGGGAAUUUUCGUCAAUGGGCGCAAGCCUGAACGAGCAAUGCCGCGUGAGUGAGGAAGGCCUUCGGGUCGUAAAGCUCUGUUGCGAGGGAAAAAGGAACGGAAGAGGAAAUGAUUCCGUUUUGAUGGUACCUCGCCAGAAAGUCACGGCUAACUACGUGCCAGCAGCCGCGGUAAUACGUAGGUGGCAAGCGUUAUCCGGAAUGAUUGGGCGUAAAGGGUGCGCAGGCGGCAUAUCAAGUCUGAAGUGAAAGGUACGGGCUCAACCUGUACAGGCUUUGGAAACUGGUAUGCUCGAGGACAGGAGAGGGCGGUGGAACUCCACGUGUAGCGGUAAAAUGCGUAGAGAUGUGGAAGAACACCAGUGGCGAAGGCGGCCGCCUGGCCUGUAACUGACGCUCAGGCACGAAAGCGUGGGGAGCAAAUAGG
rnacentral:rRNA from 1 species